GCUAGGUUUAAUUGCCACAUUAUGUCCAAAAGAAAAGAAAAAAAAAAAAACAAAACCCAGCAGUCCUCUCGACUCUCUCUCUCGACACUCAGUCCUCUCUCUCGAACCCUCUCUCGACACCCAGUCCUCUGAGCCAAAAGCUCAGAGCUUUCCCUUAAUCCUCUCAUUCAAAACCCUCAAAUUUCAAAUCCCCUAAUCUUCUUCAUCUCAUCCAAUUGCUUCCCCAAUUUGAAUCUCAAUCUUCAAUUCAACUCUACCAUCUCCAAUUCACCGUUUUCUGCUACCAAAAUGGCAUUCCCUGGCUGCUGUUACCCUUUUCUAGGUCGUCUUUCUUCGUCUCCGAGACCUUACUGUACCAAAAUAUUCACCUUCCUAUUUCAAUUUGCUCUUAUGGCGAUCUGCGUCUCCCUAGGGUUUUCCGGCUACGUGGCCCAAAACCUAGCCUCCUCCGCCAAUAUCCGCAUCAGUAAUUGCUGCGGCGUCCAUGAAUGCUAGGUUGGGUCUCGACCAACCAGAAGGCCAAUCUCGACCGCUCCGGCAUCUUCCCUAAUUACCGCUCCAAAAUUUGGGCCAGGAACAAGACUCCGACCUCCCUCUAGGACGUCGCCCUUGCCGAACUCCUCGGCGAAAGCUCCAAGACCCUGAUUAUGUCCAUCUUGCUCUCCGAGAAGCUUUAAUGGAAGCUUUAUAUCAGUGGAGGAGCCAAACUCAAAGACAAGGGCAUGUCCUGGCUUGAUUUCUUCAACAGGUGAAAGUGGAAAUGGCAAGCUCAGUGGAGAAGGAGGAGGUUUCAUCCUUAGAGCUAGCAUUGGAUUGCUUCUCACUCUUGCUGGCUAUCUCAGUCUCCAAGCUCUGAUCCUUGAAACAGAGGCCAGAAAAAUACCUUGGAGAGAUAGAAACAUGGGAGAAAGCUGAGGCAGCUCUUACAGAAGCAUUGAAUGAGUUUGGCAAACCCUGAUAUAGUUGGAACAUUUGAAAACACCAUGAGAUCAAAGCUUUCUAGUCAAACCCCAUUCUCUCCUACAUGUUGCAUCUUCAAAGUUCCUGAGGUGUUUAGAAGACAAAAACCAGAGGCCUAUAAACCUGAUGUGGUCUCAAGAACAUGCAAACUCCAGUAGGACACCCGCACAAGACAUUAGCAACCAAGCACCAUAAGAUGAAAAGUGAUGCAGCAGCAUAAUGUGAAAAAUGUUGCAGCAGCAAAAGAAGAAUACAUUACUAUUGCUGUACGAAGUCUCUACUUCAUCUUUAGCAUCUGGAUUAAUGGAGCUCUCCAGCAACAAAUAGAGCUAUUUUCGAUUCGGAUAUUGACGGCUUAUGUUCAAAAAGGAGUUUGACAGCAGCUAUGGGGGAUUUAUGAAGGAUGGAGCUAAGUGGUUGGUGGAGAACACUGAAAUCCUUCUUUGUAUGCAGCUAUCUCCAGUGGCUGGAUUUGUGAAAUACAAAGUGGGUGUUAGCAACUGGAAUUUUAUUUGCUGUAGCAGUUGAUUGGCUGUAUGAGCUGCUGAAAGCUAAGGCUUGAGGUAGGGAAAUUAAAGCAAACUUUUCUCUAUAGCUUUGAUUCUGAUUUGGUAAGUAAUUGGUGUGAUUGUGUUGGAACGUUUUCCUCUGCAAUUUUUAAGUGCAAUUUGACAAGCAGAGAGUCACACCCCAAACAUCUAACCAGAUUGUAUGUAGAUGGUUUAGUUUAGUUACUACCUGGGAUAUGAAAAGCCAAAUGGGGUUGUAAUGCUUCAUGCAUCCUCUUUGUAUUCCCUUGUUUACUCUCCAAUGUAGUAGCUAUUCUUUUGGCUUGUAAGCUAGUUCUUUUUGUUGUGUCUCUCUUGUUUACUCUUAAAACAAACCAACUUUAAAAUCAAAACUUCAUAUUGUGGUUAAAACAGCUUUGCUGAAUUUUCUGAGAAAGCUGCUGAUCUGUUAAAUUUGAGCUUUGUGUUGCCCUACUUACUGAUCUCCAAAAGUCGUGAAAUUUUGAUAUAUUUCUGUUCUGCUAGUUAAAAAAUGAUCUGGAAAGUUUCACCUUAUGUCGAUGUAUAAUGAAUCUUCAGUGAUUUUUCUUUUGAGUCUGGUCUGCUUUGGCAAAGUUCUAGAAUUCUUAGUGUACCCUCUAAUUUUCUGCUGAGAUUUGAACUUCUAUUUGAAUCAUUUAACCUAUGGUUUUUGUAUAUAUUGAACUAGACAUUCCAAUAGUUGUUUCAAAAUUGAUUUCUUGUCAAUUGGUCGUAAAAUGAAUUUUUGGUGGAUUUUCUAUUUUGACUUUGCUGCAGCUAUAUUUCUCUAAAACCUGACAGUUCAGUCUAUUUGCAUCCAUCGUUUCCCUUACUUCUUGAACUUCGAUUAGUUUGAAAUUUUAGUAUGUCGUACCUUGAUAUGUCAGCUUUCAUUCUGGAAAAUUUCAACUCCAUUGUUGCACAAAUGAAUUUUUCGUAAAUCCUCAAAGCCAAACUGUUCUUGCCUAAAUGUUACACUUUAAGUUGUGUCAAAUUUGGUCUUUUUCUGAAUUUCUUUUGCACGAGAUCAUUGGGGAAUGGAGCCUAUGAACGCUGGGGCAAGCAGAGCUAAGGAGGAGUUGAAGCACCUGAAGGUUUUGAGGAUGGCAGUGAUUUACAUGAUGAUGUGUGUGCUGAAUCUGUACGAGUACGAGAAAAAGAACUUGGGGCCUCUGAGAUCGAUUGUGUGGACUGUGGAGGUUGCUAUGAUCAAUAUUGUUGCUCCAAUCUACUGGAGAUUCAAAGGAGUGCCUGAUGAUUUCCUUGGUUUACUCUCACUCUUAUCCCUUCUUACAAGCAAAAGAAGAAAUACAAAUUGUAUGGAAGUAAGGAACCAGAAGUUUCUCGGAUUCAUUAGUUUCUUUGGGAUGAAUUAAGUGCAGUGUUAGCUUUUCACACUUCUCCAUGCUUUGGCAAAACUAAAACCGGUGGUGAAUUGUAAUUUGCUGGACUUGAUGUGAAUACUGCUAUAUGAGAAUGCUAAUCAGUAACUAGUUUCAUAUUUACCGGCAUAACAGAAUUCAGCUUCCUCUA